rnacentral:rRNA from 1 species
GAUGAACGCUGGCGGCGUGCCUAAUACAUGCAAGUCGAGCGAACGGACGAGAAGCUUGCUUCUCUGAUGUUAGCGGCGGACGGGUGAGUAACACGUGGAUAACCUACCUAUAAGACUGGGAUAACUUCGGGAAACCGGAGCUAAUACCGGAUAAUAUUUUGAACCGCAUGGUUCAAAAGUGAAAGACGGUCUUGCUGUCACUUAUAGAUGGAUCCGCGCUGCAUUAGCUAGUUGGUAAGGUAACGGCUUACCAAGGCAACGAUGCAUAGCCGACCUGAGAGGGUGAUCGGACAAACUGGAACUGAGACACGGUCCAGACUCCUAAGGGAGGCAGCAGUAGGGAAUCCUCCGCAAUGGGCGAAAGCCUGACGGAGCAACGCCGCGUGAGUGAUGAAGGUCUUCGGAUCGUAAAACUCUGUUAUUAGGGAAGAACAUAUGUGUAAGUAACUGUGCACAUCUUGACGGUACCUAAUCAGAAAGCCACGGCUAACUACGUG